GGAGACAGAGGCCCAGGCCUAGAACGGAGAGGACCUUCGAAAGGGCUGCCCCCAGCAAAGGCCCAUAACUGUUUCCGCCUCCUGGCUCCCAGCAGCCUCGGAACCAGAACCGAUCCACCAGAGGGGUGUGUCAGACCACUGGUGGGGACAACCUCCUCCGUGUUCCAGCCGCUCCUUCCUUCCCGACCUGCGGUGCCAGUCAUCGAACCUCCAGAAUAACCUCAGGAAGGUUUCCAGCCACCAGAUACCUACCCUGGGGCCGCUGAGGAGAGAUUGCACUCAGUUCACCGAGGCCAGAAAGGCCAACAUUCCCUGCGGCCUACAGGCCCCCAAGCUCAAGGCCGCGCUCAACCGCAGCUCCACCGCGCUCCGAGGGGAGGCAGCCGCGGGGCACAACAGGCGGUGUAGCCCCUUCCGAGUGCGAUUUGCUGACGAGACCCUACAGGACACAGCGUUCCGCUACUGGGAGCGGAGAUGUGCACGU